rnacentral:rRNA from 1 species
AUUGAACGCUGGCGGCAUGCCUUACACAUGCAAGUCGAACGGCAGCGGACCUUCGGGUGCCGGCGAGUGGCGAACGGGUGAGUAAUAUAUCGGAACGUACCUUUCGAGUGGGGGAUAACGUAGCGAAAGUUACGCUAAUACCGCAUAUUCUGUGAGCAGGAAAGCAGGGGAUCGCAAGACCUUGCGCUGAUUGAGCGGCCGAUGUCAGAUUAGCUAGUUGUGGGUAAAGGCCCACCAAGGCGACGAUCUGUAGCGGGUCUGAGAGGAUGAUCCGCCACACUGGGACUGAGACACGGCCCAGACUCCUACGGGAGGCAGCAGUGGGGAAUUUUGGACAAUGGGCGCAAGCCUGAUCCAGCCAUGCCGCGUGCGGGACGAAGGCCUC